UACGGAGGGGGCGAGCGUUGUUCGGAAUCAUUGGGCGUAAAGGGCGCGUAGGCGGCCCUGUAAGUCAGAUGUGAAAGCCCUUGGCUUAACCAAGGAACUGCAUCUGAAACUGCAGGGCUUGAGUCCGGGAAGGGAGAGUGGAAUUCCCAGUGUAGCGGUGAAAUGCGUAGAUAUUCGGAAGAACACCAGUGGCGAAGGCGACACACUGGCCCGUUACUGACGCUGAGGCGCGAAAGCGUGGGGAGCAAACAGG
rnacentral:rRNA from 1 species